UACGUAGGGGGCGAGCGUUGUCCGAAGUUACUGGGCGUAAAGCGCGCGUAGGCGGUCUAUUAAGUCUGAGGUGAAAGGUUCAACGCUCAACGUGAACAGUGCCUUGGAUACUAGUAGACUUGAGUGUGGCAGAGGAGUAUGGAAUUCCUGGUGUAGCGGUGAAAUGCGUAGAUAUCAGGAGGAAUACCGAUGGCGAAGGCAGUACUCUGGGCUAACACUGACGCUGAGGUGCGAAAGCGUGGGGAGCAAACGGG
rnacentral:rRNA from 1 species